rnacentral:misc_RNA from 1 species
UUUUAUGUGCUUUACAAGAGAAACGAUUAAAGAAACCUCCAGUCUAUUGUCUUACAACAACAGUAAUAGUACCCAUAGGAAAAAGAGGGGUCUUCAAUUUGAAUCCCCUUUCUGUACAACAUGAAAAAUAGUGCAAGCAUUCUUUUAUACCAAGUCUAGUAUUUCCAGCUUCAUCCUUUAUGUAGUAUCAGAAAAAGAAUAUAAAAAUACCUUUAGCAGCUUGAUUGCUCUUUUUGUUGUGUCAAAUCUUG